rnacentral:rRNA from 1 species
GACAGAGGUGCCGAGCGUUAGGCGGAAUCACUGGGCUUAAAGCGUGUGUAGGCGGAUCGUUAAGUGUCUUGUGAAAUCCCCCGGCUCAACCGGGGAACUGCUGGGCAUACUGGCGAUCUUGAGCGGCCUAGGGGCAGAUGGAACAAGUGGUGGAGCGGUGAAAUGCGUAGAUAUCACUUGGAACGCCAAAGGUGAAAACAGUCUGCUGGGGGCCUGCUGACGCUGAGACACGGAAGCCAGGGGAGCGAACGGG